rnacentral:rRNA from 1 species
AGCAGCCGCAGUAAUUCCAGCUCCAAUAGCGUAUAUUAAAGUUGUUGCAGUUAAAAAGCUCGUAGUUGAAUUUCAGGCCUGGCUGGACGGUCCGCCCUUCGGGUGAGUACUGUCUGUGGUCGGGUCCUACCUUCUGGCGAAGCGUCAUGGCCUUAACCGGCCGUGGCGGGGAACCAGGACUUUUACUGUGAAAAAAUUAGAGUGUUCAAAGCAGGCAAAUCGCUUGGAUACAUUAGCAUGGAAUAAUGGAAUAGGACAAUGGUUCUAUUUGUUGGUUUCUAGGACCGUUGUAAUGAUUAAUAGGGAUAGUUGGGGGCAUUAGUAUUCAAUUGUCAGAGGUGAAAUUCUUGGAUUUAUUGAAGACUAACUACUGCGAAAGCAUUUGCCAAGGAUGUUUUCAUUAAUCAAGAACGAAAGUUAGGGGAUCGAAGACGAUCAGAUACCGUCGUAGUCUUAACCAUAAACUAUGCCGACUAGGAAUCGGGCGAUGUUGAAAAAAUGACGC